AUUGAACGCUGGCGGCAUGCCUUACACAUGCAAGUCGAACGGCAGCACGGAGCUUGCUCUGGUGGCGAGUGGCGAACGGGUGAGUAAUAUAUCGGAACGUACCCAAGAGUGGGGGAUAACGUAGCGAAAGUUACGCUAAUACCGCAUACGAUCUAAGGAUGAAAGCAGGGGACCGCAAGGCCUUGUGCUCCUGGAGCGGCCGAUAUCUGAUUAGCUAGUUGGUGAGCUAAAGGCUCACCAAGGCAUCGAUCAGUAGCUGGUCUGAGAGGACGACCAGCCACACUGGAACUGAGACACGGUCCAGACUCCUACGGGAGGCAGCAGUGGGGAAUUUUGGACAAUGGGGGCAACCCUGAUCCAGCAAUGCCGCGUGAGUGAAGAAGGCCUUCGGGUUGUAAAGCUCUUUUGUCAGGGAAGAAACGGUCGUGGCUAAUAUCCAUGGCUAAUGACGGUACCUGAAGAAUAAGCACCGGCUAACUACGUGCCAGCCGCCGCGGUAAUAC
rnacentral:rRNA from 1 species